rnacentral:rRNA from 1 species
CAGCAGCCGCGGGAAUACGUAGGGUGCGAGCGUUAAUCGGAUUUACUGGGCGUAAAGCGUGCGUAGGCGGCUUCUUAAGUCGGAUGUGAAAUCCCUGAGCUUAACUUAGGAAUUGCAUUCGAUACUGGGAAGCUAGAGUAUGGGAGAGGAUGGUAGAAUUCCAGGUGUAGCGGUGAAAUGCGUAGAGAUCUGGAGGAAUACCGAUGGCGAAGGCAGCCAUCUGGCCUAAUACUGACGCUGAGGUACGAAAGCAUGGGGAGCAAACAGGAUUAGAUACCCGAGUAGUCCCUGUCUCUUAUAU